GACGAAAUCAUCGCUGCUGCUCUCGAUGGGAAAAACACAAUUUUCCGAGAUUUUGCAUCAUCUGCUGGCGGAAAAUUGGCGCGCAGGCCUAUUAUUAUUCGUGCAGCAAACAGCUCCUCGCGCCUUUACAGCAAUAAUACACAUACUCUGGCACACCACACACACACACAUUCGAACUGAACCAGCGUGCAAUUGUGUGAUCCACUAUUUUCAGUUAUUUACACAAUCCCAUUUUUUGUAUUCCGCAUGUCGGUAUUAAAUUCUGAGUAUAGUUAAUUCA